GUUUGAUCCUGGCUCAGGACGAACGCUGGCGGCGUGCCUAAUACAUGCAAGUAGAACGCUGAAGAGAGGAGCUUGCUCUUCUUGGAUGAGUUGCGAACGGGUGAGUAACGCGUAGGUAACCUGCCUUGUAGCGGGGGAUAACUAUUGGAAACGAUAGCUAAUACCGCAUAACAAUGGACGACACAUGUCAUUUAUUUGAAAGGGGCAAUUGCUCCACUACAAGAUGGACCUGCGUUGUAUUAGCUAGUAGGUGAGGUAAUGGCUCACCUAGGCGACGAUACAUAGCCGACCUGAGAGGGUGAUCGGCCACACUGGGACUGAGACACGGCCCAGACUCCUACGGGAGGCAGCAGAAGGGCGAAUUCGU
rnacentral:rRNA from 1 species